GAAAAAUAAGAAUCUCUUGAAAUGGCUUCUCGCUUCUAUCAUCCUUUUCUCUUCAGUGUUUUGUUCGUUGCUUUGGUUUUGAUAUCAGGAGAAGUAGCAGUGGUAGAAGCAGCAAAAGGAAUGAUAGAUGACCUUAAGUGCUUAGGGGCUUGCACUCCAUCUUGCAAGGUCGAUUGCCAAGCAAAGGGGUUUAUGAAUGGUUACUGUAUCCAACAAGGAUCUCUCUUGCAAUGUUGUUGUCUAUGAUUAAUUUAUGCUAUACCUAUGCUAUUUUAUAAAAUUUUAAUAAAAUGAGUGUUUCAGUUAA